AAAGCCGUCUUAUGUUUCUGUCUUAUUUCAUUGUAAAAUUGCGAUAUGAAAUAUGACAUAAACUUAAGCUGGGUA
rnacentral:pre_miRNA from 1 species